AGCUAAUAGAUACCCGGGUAGUCCACGCCCUAAACGAUGUCUACUAGUUGUUGGUGGAGUAAAAUCCAUGAGUAAACGCAGCUAAACGCGUGAAGUAGACCGCCUGGGGAGUACGGUCGCAAGAUUAAAACUCAAAGGAAUUGACGGGGGCCCGCACAAGCGGUGGAUUAUGUGGAUUAAAUUCGAUGCAACGCGAAAAACCUUACCUGGCCUUGACAUGCCACUAACGAAGCAGAGAUGCAUUAGGUGCCCGUAAGGGAAAGUGGACACAGGUGCUGCAUGGCUGUCGUCAGCUCGCGUCGUGAGAUGUUGGGUUAAGUCCCGCAACGAGCGCAACCCUUGCCAUUAAUUGCCAUCAUUUAGUUGGGUCACUUUAAUGGGACUGCCGGUGACAAACCGGAGGAAGGUGGGGAUGACGUCAAGUCCUCAUGGCCCUUAUGGCCAGGGCUUCACACGUAAUACAAUGGUCGGUACAGAGAGUUGCCAACCCGCGAGGGGAGGCUAAUCUCAGAAAGCCGAUCGUAGUCCGGAUUGUUCU
rnacentral:rRNA from 1 species